rnacentral:rRNA from 1 species
GGGCCCGCACAAGCGGUGGAGCAUGUGGUUUAAUUCGAUGCAACGCGAAGAACCUUACCAGGGCUUGACAUACUACGAAUUCUUUUGAAAAAAAUGAAGUGCCUUCGGGAAUGUAGAUACAGGUGGUGCAUGGCUGUCGUCAGCUCGUGUCGUGAGAUGUUGGGUUAAGUCCCGCAACGAGCGCAACCCUUAUUUUUAGUUACCAAUUCGUUGGGUUCUUUAGAAAGACUGCCGGUGACAAACCGGAGGAAGGUGAGGAUGACGUCAAGUCAGCAUGCCCCUUAUGUCCUGGGCUACACACGUGCUACAAUGGUUAAGACAAAGAGUCGCGAGCCUGCAAAGGUCAG